AACGAACGCUGGCGGCAGGCUUAACACAUGCAAGUCGAACGCCCCUUUCGGGGGGAGUGGCAGACGGGUGAGUAACGCGUGGGAACGUGCCCUUCAGUUUGGAAUAACCCAGGGAAACUUGGGCUAAUACCGGAUACGCCCUUCGGGGGAAAGAUUUAUCGCUGAAGGAUCGGCCCGCGUCUGAUUAGCUGGUUGGUGAGGUAAUGGCUCACCAAGGCGACGAUCAGUAGCUGGUCUGAGAGGAUGAUCAGCCACAUUGGGACUGAGACACGGCCCAAACUCCUACGGGAGGCAGCAGUGGGGAAUAUUGGACAAUGGGCGCAAGCCUGAUCCAGCCAUGCCGCGUGAGUGAUGACGGCCUUAGGGUUGUAAAGCUCUUUCGCACGCGACGAUAAUGACGGUAGCGUGAGAAGAAGCCCCGGCUAACUUCGUGCCAGCAGCCGCCGUAAGAC
rnacentral:rRNA from 1 species